rnacentral:rRNA from 1 species
AUUGAACGCUGGCGGCAGGCCUAACACAUGCAAGUCGAGCGAGCGGCGGACGGGUGAGUAAUGUCUGGGAAACUGCCUGAUGGAGGGGGAUAACUACUGGAAACGGUAGCUAAUACCGCAUACCAUAAGAUGUGCCCAGAUGGGAUUAGCUUGUAGGUGGGGUAAUGGCUCACCUAGGCGACGAUCCCUAGCUGGUCUGAGAGGAUGACCAGCCACACUGGAAUUGAGACACGGUGCAGACUCCUACGGGCGGCAGCAUUGGGGAAUAUUGCACAAUGGGCGCAAGCCUGAUGCAGCCAUGCACCGGGUGUGAAGAAGGCCUUCGGGUUGUAAAGAACUUUCAGCGAGGAGGCGUUACCCGCAGAAGAAGCACCGGCUAACUCCGUGCCAGCAGCCGCGGUAAUAC